rnacentral:tRNA from 1 species
GGGGGCGUAGCUCAGUUGGGAGAGCGCUACAAUGGCAUUGUAGAGGUCAGGGGUUCGAUUCCCCUCGCCUCCA